rnacentral:rRNA from 1 species
UACGUAGGGACCAAGCGUUGUUCGGAUUUACUGGGCGUAAAGAGCGCGCAGGCGGUCGUUCAAGUCGAGUGUGAAAGCCCCCGGCUCAACUGGGGAGGGUCACUCGAUACUGAUCGACUCGAAGGCAGGAGAGGGAAGUGAAAUUCCCGGUGUAGUGGUGAAAUGCGUAGAUAUCGAGAGGAACACCUGCGGCGAAGGCGGGUUGCUGGGCCGACACUGACGCUGAGGCGCGAAAGCUAGGGGAGCAAACGGGG